UCACGUCCACUUUUGUAUAAUCAAGCUGAUGCACACCACAGCAAAAGGCAAGCAAUCCGUGAUGUGUGGGAAGAAGUUGCAAACACCAUAUUCACAAACUAUGAGGAAAUGAGUGACCUGGCCAAAAAGGAUGUUUUGAAAGAACUGAAGACCAGAGGAAAUCAACCCGUGAUUAUUUUAUGAAGGCACAUAAAAAUUAUGAAGCCAGUGGGUCCUCACCAUCAAAUAAGCCCAAAAUUCCGUACGAACAAGAAUUGAGCUUCUUGCUUCCAACACAAAAACCUUAACAACUGGAAACUAAACAGCUAGUACAUCCCAAGAAGAAACCGAGCAGCCACCAGCUACCCUGUCAGA